rnacentral:rRNA from 1 species
CAGCACCUCAAGUGGUCAGGAUGAUUAUUGGGCCUAAAGCAUCCGUAGCCGGCGCUGUAAGUUUUCGGUUAAAUCUGUACGCUCAACGUACAGGCUGCCGGGAAUACUGCAGCGCUAGGGAGUGGGAGAGGUAGACGGUACUCGGUAGGAAGGGGUAAAAUCCUUUGAUCUAUUGAUGACCACCUGUGGCGAAGGCGGUCUACCAGAACACGUCCGACGGUGAGGGAUGAAAGCUGGGGGAGCGAACCGGAUUAGAGACCAGAGUAGUCC